rnacentral:lncRNA from 1 species
AUGACAAACAAAAGUCCUCUGCUACUGGGGAAGACAGAACAGAGAAGCCAGCAGGGGAAGAAAAAGAUGAUGCUGUUCUUGAUGCCUCAAAAACGGCAAGGGAGAACCCAGGCAACUGAUAUACACACCCUUGGAACAAAUCUACCCCAGAAGUACAAGACACACACUUCAAAUUCAUGGAAUAAAUGGGAGCUCCUGGCCACAGUGGGAGCCAUGAUCUCUCUCCUUUAUACAUGGCUGUAUUCCCAGAGCUUUCAUUUCCAUGUGGCACAUUUUUAUGCUCAUUUUGGGUAAAGAUACCUGAAAGGAGCUGGUGUAGUGAAGGAUGAAGAGAAGGCAAUGCAAUGGUUUAGGUAAGAUGAUGACAUCUGCCAAAAAGCAGAACUCCAGAGUUACCUGUUCAGAAAGUACAGGUGGAGCAUCCCUUAUCCGAGCUGCUUGAGACCAGAAGUGUUUUGGAUCUUGGAUUUUUUUUUUUUUUGAAAUAUUUGUAUUAUACUAACUGGUUGAGCAUCUCUAACCUGAAAAUCCAGAAUCUGAAAUGCUCCAGUGAGAUUUUUCUUUGAGUGUCAUGUUGAUACUCCAAAAGUUUCAGAUUUUGGAGCAUUUCAGAUUUCAGAUUUUCUGUUUAGGGAUGCUCAACCUAUGCUUAAAUAGAAAACCUUAUGAUUUUGGUGCUUUUUCCCUAGAGCAAAAAUAAGCUAGAGAUCUAAAAUCUCUUAAUAUUAAAGUCUUGCUACCCUCUUUACUUUUUCCACUUGGUGAUGAGGUAGGAGUACUGGUGGGGCUGUUGAGAGGGUGGGGCCAGUGCAUUUUAAAACAGUCUACACAAUGUAAGCAAACAGCAGAUUAGAUUCAAAAGAGUCGAAGUGGGGAAUGUGGACCAAUCUAGGUCAAUAUUCAGGAUGUCAAUAAAUUUAUUAACAAUGCUCUGUGUUAACAUUACUUUGGUUAUUAAGGUUUUGAGCUCUUGACUAUAAAACAUACACUAAUUUGAAAUUUACAAACUGGGCUAUGUGUUAGAAUCACCUGGAAAACUUCUGAAAAAUACUGAAGCCCAGUUCCAGAUUGAUUUAAAUGAGCAGAAAAAGUUCCCUAGAAGAGUGUAAUAUGCUGCCAGCUCAAACUACUCCAGAAGUCUAUAAUGGUUAAUAAAGUAAACAUGAACCAGCAGAAGAAGGCAUUUCAGGAACAUAGUCUAAAGCUUAAAAUCGAUAUUCUGAUAAAGUUCACCUGACAACAGAAGAAACACCUUUGAGAAUCAGGAAGGGAGUGACAUGGUUCCAAAGUGGCAAAGUGUCAUUGGUGAUUAACUGCACUUGACUGAAGCUCUUGCCACUGGGAGUAUAGUCCAUACACCCACAGCAUUGGCAUCGCCAGGUGGGUACUUGGUAGGAAUGCUGCCUCUGAGGCCCUAAUGCAGACCCACUGAAGUAGAAUCUUCAUUUUGAUAAGAUCCUGGGGUGACUGAUAUGCAC